AUUGAACGCUGGCGGCAUGCCUUACACAUGCAAGUCGAACGGUAACAGGGAGCUUGCUCCGCUGACGAGUGGCGAACGGGUGAGUAAUGCAUCGGAACGUACCCAGUAGUGGGGGAUAACGCAGCGAAAGCUGUGCUAAUACCGCAUACGCACUGAGGUGGAAAGCAGGGGACCUUCGGGCCUUGUGCUAUUGGAGCGGCCGAUGUCAGAUUAGCUAGUUGGUGGGGUAAAAGCUCACCAAGGCGACGAUCUGUAGCUGGUCUGAGAGGAUGAUCAGCCACACUGGGACUGAGACACGGCCCAGACUCCUACGGGACGCAGCAGUGGGGAAUUUUGGACAAUGGGGGCAACCCUGAUCCAGCCAUGCCGCGUGAGUGAAGAAGGCCUUCGGGUUGUAAAGCUCUUUCGGCCGGGAAGAAAUCGCCAUCUCUAACAUAGGUGGUGGAUGACGGUACCGGAAUAAGAAGCACCGGCUAACUACGUGCCAGCAGCCGCGGUAA
rnacentral:rRNA from 1 species